CCUACGGGAGGCAGCAGUGGGGAAUAUUGGGCAAUGGGCGAAAGCCUGACCCAGCAACGCCGCGUGAAGGAAGAAGGCUUUCGGGUUGUAAACUUCUUUUGACCGGGAAGAGCAGAAGACGGUACCUGCCGAAUAAGCCACGGCUAACUACGUGCCAGCAGCAGCGGUAAUACGUAGGUGGCAAGCGUUGUCCGGAUUUACUGGGUGUAAAGGGCGUGUAGCCGGGCUGACAAGUCAGAUGUGAAAUCCGGGGGCUCAACCCCCGAACUGCAUUUGAAACUGUUGGUCUUGAGUAUCGGAGAGGCAGGCGGAAUUCGUGGUGUAGCGGUGAAAUGCAUAGAUAUUAGGAAGAACACCAGUGGCGAAGGCAGCCUGCUGGACGGCGACUGACGGUGAGGCGCGAAAGCGUGGGGAGCAAACAGGAUUAGAUACCCGAGUAGUC
rnacentral:rRNA from 1 species